rnacentral:rRNA from 1 species
GGCGUGCCUAAUACAUGCAAGUCGAACGCUUCUUUUUCCACCGGAGCUUGCUCCACCGGAAAAAGAGGAGUGGCGAACGGGUGAGUAACACGUGGGUAACCUGCCCAUCAGAAGGGGAUAACACUUGGAAACAGGUGCUAAUACCGUAUAACAAUCGAAACCGCAUGGUUUUGAUUUGAAAGGCGCUUUCGGGUGUCGCUGAUGGAUGGACCCGCGGUGCAUUAGCUAGUUGGUGAGGUAACGGCUCACCAAGGCCACGAUGCAUAGCCGACCUGAGAGGGUGAUCGGCCACAUUGGGACUGAGACACGGCCCAAACUCCUACGGGAGGCAGCAGUAGGGAAUCUUCGGCAAUGGACGAAAGUCUGACCGAGCAACGCCGCGUGAGUGCAGAAGGUUUUCGGAUCGUAAAACUCUGUUGUUAGAGAAGAACAAGGAUGAGAGUAACUGUUCAUCCCUUGACGGUAUCUAACCAGAAAGCCACGGCUAACUACGUGCCAGCAGCCGCGGUAAUACGUAGGUGGCAAGCGUUGUCCGGAUUUAUUGGGCGUAAAGCGAGCGCAGGCGGUUUCUUAAGUCUGAUGUGAAAGCCCCCGGCUCAACCGGGGAGGGUCAUUGGAAACUGGGAGACUUGAGUGCAGAAGAGGAGAGUGGAAUUCCAUGUGUAGCGGUGAAAUGCGUAGAUAUAUGGAGGAACACCAGUGGCGAAGGCGGCUCUCUGGUCUGUAACUGACGCUGAGGCUCGAAAGCGUGGGGAGCCAACAGGAAUUAGAUACCCUGGUAGUCCACGCCGUAAACGAUGAGUGCUAAGUGUUGGAGGGUUUCCGCCUUUCAGUGUUGCAGGCUAACGCAUUAAGCACUCCGCCUGGGGGAGUACGACCGCAAGGUUGAAACUCAAAGGAAUUGACGGGGGCCCGCACAAGCGGUGGAGCAUGUGGUUUAAUUUGAAGCAACGCGAAGAACCUUACCAGGUCUUGACAUCCUUUGACCACUCUAGAGAUAGAGCUUCCCCUUCGGGGGCAAAGUGACAGGUGGUGCAUGGUUGUCGUCAGCUCGUGUCGUGAGAUGUUGGGUUAAGUCCCGCAACGAGCGCAACCCUUAUUGUUAGUUGCCAUCAUUCAGUUGGGCACUCUAGCAAGACUGCCGGUGACAAACCGGAGGAAGGUGGGGAUGACGUCAAAUCAUCAUGCCCCUUAUGACCUGGGCUACACACGUGCUACAAUGGGAAGUACAACGAGUCGCGAAGUCGCGAGGCUAAGCUAAUCUCUUAAAGCUUCUCUCAGUUCGGAUUGCAGGCUGCAACUCGCCUGCAUAAAGCCGGAAUCGCUAGUAAUCGCGGAUCAGCACGCCGCGGUGAAUACGUUCCCGGGCCUUGUACACACCGCCCGUCACACCACGAGAGUUUGUAACACCCGAAGUAAGUGAGGUAACCUUUUGGAGCCAGCCGCCUAAGGUGGGAU